AGCCCCCUGCCAAAAUACGCGCCAAGCCCCAGCUGCUCGCCGUCGCGUACAACUCCACGCACACGCGCAUCGACCGGUUCUCUACAAAUUGAAGCCAUCGCAAGUCGCCGAGAUCCACCGGUUCUCUACAAAUUGAAGCCACCGCAAGUCGCCUAGAAGCAAGUCCGCGCCAGCAAGUCACCGGUUCCUGCUGCGACAUCGAAGACGCUCACGUCCAUAAUCCAACAACAUCUUCAAGUUCAAGCUCUGAAUCAUGUCGUCCACGCCGGUUGUCACGUUUCUAGGUGAGCAAUCAAUCUAGAAUAGAUUCAUAUGAAUUUUAUGCCAAGAGUUCCUUGUUCUUUCGAUCUACGAUCAUGAGAAGGCCAGCAACUUGAUGACAUCGGAACCCUCGCCGCGCGAGGUCGUUGUCAAGUUGUUGAUGAAGUCGAGCAAUGAAAAAUCAAGACGCAAUUUCAACUCGUCACGAUGGCGGCGGAGGGGUCGUUUUGGCUUACUCCGUUAUUACGACGGUGGCGGAGGGGUCGUUUUGGCCUACUCUGUUAUUACUACGAUGGCGGCAGAGGGGUCGUUUUAGCCUACUCUAUUAUUUCUACGGCGGUGGAGAGGUCGUUUUGGCCUACUCUAUUCUUCCCACGGCGACAGCGGAGAGUGCACGAUGAAAGUCGUUCUUUUGAUAUACUAUCAUGAGAAGGCCAGCAACUUGACGACGUCAGAACCCUCGCCGCGCGAGGUCGUCUGUCGAGUUGCUGAUGGCGAAGCCAAGCUCUAUAAGAAAAGGUUCAAGACACGCGAGACAAGAACGUCCCGCUCGUUGCAGGGCGCGAGACGGAAAUUUCCGAUCGUCACGAUGGUAAAAGAGGGGAUGCGCGAGAUGGAAAUUUCCACUCGUUGCAGUGCUCGAGACAAGAACGCCCGCUUUUUGUGAUGAUAACAGGCAAGACGCACGAGACGGAAACCCGCUCGUCGCAGCGCGUAAGACGGGAAACUCCCGCUUGUCGUAAUAAUGAAAAGUCAAGACACGAGAUGAGAACGCCUCGUUUCGUUAUAAAAUAUUGAUGUCGAGAGGCUGUCGAUUCCAUCACAUGAGCAACUAUUGUUCGAGCAUAUAUUAUGUCAUGAUGAGAGCUGCCAUCAAUAUAGUUCUACAAUUAUACAUAUAUCUUGGAGAUACAUACGCACAUAUGUACAUGCCGGCGUCCUAUUCUUUGAUCGGAGAAGAUGCCAUAUUUGAAUAGUUGGUCAUGCCUGCUAGUUGCUCCACGAGAUGCAUGCACUUAUGUAUACGUGAUUGUAUAACUUGCUGAAUUUCUACCCGAGGAUCCGCAAAUCGGCACCUGUAUGUGAAGCUAUACGCCUGGUAGAGAGCCAGUUUGCAUUCAACGAUGCAGGCUGCGUCUAUUG
rnacentral:lncRNA from 1 species